rnacentral:lncRNA from 1 species
GCUAAUAUUUAGUGAGUGAUUAUUAUGUGCCAACCACUGCACUCAAAUAUUUCACAGGGAAAGGGGGCAAGUUGACUUUGUGUUCCAAGUAAAGUGUUCGUGGCUCACCAGUGGCAAAUCAGUGCUGCAAUCCACAGCUAGAUAAAAUACAGAAGUUGUGAAUAAACAUUUAACAUUUUCACAAUGUGACAGUAAUUUUAUGAGUGUUGAAUUUGGUAAUAAAACAUUGGCUUGCACUUUAUGUCUUUAAAUUUUUUCCUAGCAAUUAACUUUUAUUGGAUUUUAUGAAAGUUAUCAGUCCAUGAUGGGUUGGAAAUAAGAACAAACUGGCCCUUCACCACAGAUUGUUUGAGAAUCACUGACUUAGACCCAGCAAAGCCCACACCUUUGUCCCCCUGUAUUCCUUUUGAAGUGCCAGCUGGUUACAGCUACCCUGGAAGGAGCACAUUGCUGGAUGCAAAUCUCCCAUCAGCAGAUGAGGGGUUGCUAUGCCAUCCAGGAGUGAGUGGAGGACUUCCAAUUCUAGAAAUAGCCCUCUGAUCUGGGGAUGGCUAGUAGAAAAGGCACUAACACCAAUAAUUACUUCAAAUCUUUCAUUUGCUUCAGAACUUGUGGAAGUGGGAUUGAUAGGGGUAAACAGAAAAGAGCUCCUUUGUAAAGUCCCCAAGAGAAAAAGUUCACACAAAUUAAAUUCUCAUUUCCCGAGCCUCUCUGAGUGGGAAGAAGCAGAGGGACCAUGCGAAAGAGGUCUCUGGGAAAAUAGGGCUGAUUCAAGGGAGCCUGUGUGUCUCCUUGACUUGAGGCUCUGUGGAGGAAAGCACACCUCAUAAAUCCUUUUGGCUGCUUUUUGGCUAAAUCCUCAGAUUUGCACGAAGGACUGUUUUGAGUGGAUCAGUGUGUCUUUUGUUUGCAUCUUCUGGAAUUCUGAAGACUGCAGCCAAGGAGUUAGGCUGCAGAACUGGACUGAGCAUUUAAUCAGUUGAACGCUUCCUUAUGUUUUCCUGGUUUGUUCUCAUAACAAGUGACCUUAGGCCAACUCCUAGCAACACAUGAUUGUGGAAUGUUCCCUCCUGAGGAAUAUACAGCCUU